rnacentral:lncRNA from 1 species
CCUCGGGUGGAAGAAGCUAUGGAAGAGCGAGAAGUUCAGUGCUUUGAUUCCGUACAUGAGUUUCUACAAUCCACAAGGUAUAUUUAUAUGUCCAUUUGUUUCUGAUUUGGUAACAACCACCCUUAAAUAAUAAGCCCUCUGUUCCAAAGUAAGUGUCGCUCUCAAGUAUUUUACACCUAGCUAUAUUUGAUGUUUAACCAGAUGAAAAUUUAUAUUUGAUGUUUUUAAUUUGUGAUAAUGUAUGUGGGCUCAAGAAAACUUUGAGCGCUAUGUACUAUACUUGAAUUUUACACCUAGUUAUUCUUAUGAAGGGGUAUGGAAUCACACAAAUAAAUCUACAUUUGCAGAGAGGAUCAACCCCUACGAUGAAGCUCAUUGAUGGCUUAGUGUUGAAUGUGCUUAAGAGCAGAAGGCCAAUAUCAUCAAUUGGAAAAAUGACCACUUGAAGGGGCAACGUGGUCUCGUGAUGAAUUAUGCACUAUUAAUAGCUGGUUUGGUGCGAUGGUGUUUGUUUUGUCAUUUUGUUGGUAACUUAGUCGGCCAGCAUAAUAAUUCCCGGUGUUAAGUGGCAUGCGUAAGCGGGUGAAGGGAUUAUCUUUGUAAUGAACCUACUAGUUGUCACAGGAAUUGACAGAGCUAACCGACUUCCUCAUAAUUGAAAUGUCUUAUCUUCUAUAAUUGAUGUCUUAAUAUCUUUCAAUAUCAAGUUGCCGCAUUUG